UUAAAUUGAAGAGUUUGAUCAUGGCUCAGAUUGAACGCUGGCGGCAGGCCUAACACAUGCAAGUCGAACGGUAACAGGAAGCAGCUUGCUGCUUUGCUGACGAGUGGCGGACGGGUGAGUAAUGUCUGGGAAACUGCCUGAUGGAGGGGGAUAACUACUGGAAACGGUGGCUAAUACCGCAUAACGUCGCAAGACCAAAGAGGGGGACCUUCGGGCCUCUUG
rnacentral:rRNA from 19 species